rnacentral:rRNA from 1 species
AGAGUUUGAUCCUGGCUCAGGAUGAACGCUGGCGGCGUGCUUAACGCAUGCAAGUCGAACGAUCCUUCGGGAUAGUGGCGGACGGGUGAGUAACGCGUGGGAAUCUGCCCUCAGGAGGGGGAUAACGGCUGGAAACGGCCGCUAAUACCCCAUAUGCCGAGAGGUGAAAUGAAUUUCGCCUGAGGAUGAGCCCGCGUCUGAUUAGCUAGUUGGUGGGGUAAAGGCCUACCAAGGCAACGAUCAGUAGCUGGUCUGAGAGGAUGAUCAGCCACACUGGGACUGAGACACGGCCCAGACUCCUACGGGAGGCAGCAGUGGGGAAUUUUCCGCAAUGGGCGAAAGCCUGCCGGAGCAACGCCGCGUGAGGGAUGAAGGCCUCUGGGCUGUAAACCUCUUUUCUCAAGGAAGAAGACCUGACGGUACUUGAGGAAUAAGCCACGGCUAAUUCCGUGCCAGCAGCCGCGGUAAUACGGGAGUGGCAAGCGUUAUCCGGAAUUAUUGGGCGUAAAGCGUCCGCAGGCGGCCUUGUAAGUCUGUUGUUAAAGCGUGGAGCUCAACUCCAUUUAAGCAAUGGAAACUACAAGGCUGGAGUGUGGUAGGGGCAGAGGGAAUUCCCGGUGUAGCGGUGAAAUGCGUAGAUAUCGGGAAGAACACCAGUGGCGAAGGCGCUCUGCUGGGCCAUAACUGACGCUCAUGGACGAAAGCCAGGGGAGCGAAAGGGAUUAGAUACCCCUGUAGUCCUGGCCGUAAACGAUGAACACUAGGUGUCGGGGGAAUCGACCCCCUCGGUGUCGUAGCCAACGCGUUAAGUGUUCCGCCUGGGGAGUACGCACGCAAGUGUGAAACUCAAAGGAAUUGACGGGGGCCCGCACAAGCGGUGGAGUAUGUGGUUUAAUUCGAUGCAACGCGAAGAACCUUACCAGGGUUUGACAUCCUGCGAACCCCUGAGAAAUCGGAGGGUGCCUUCGGGAGCGCAGAGACAGGUGGUGCAUGGCUGUCGUCAGCUCGUGUCGUGGGAUGUUGGGUUAAGUCCCGCAACGAGCGCAACCCACGUCUUUAGUUGCCAGCAUUCAGUUGGGCACUCUAGAGAGACCGCCGGUGAUAAACCGGAGGAAGGUGUGGAUGACGUCAAGUCAUCAUGCCCCUUACAUCCUGGGCUACACACGUACUACAAUGCUACGGACAAAGGGCAGCAAGCUCGCGAGAGUUAGCAAAUCCCAUAAACCGUGGCUCAGUUCAGAUCGUAGGCUGCAACUCGCCUACGUGAAGGAGGAAUCACUAGUAAUCGCAGGUCAGCAUACUGCGGUGAAUACGUUCCCGGGCCUUGUACACACCGCCCGUCACACCAUGGAAGUUGGCCAUGCCCGAAGUCGUUACUCCAACCUUGUGGAGGAGGACGCCGAAGGUGGGGCUGAUGACUGGGGUGAAGUCGUAACAAGGUA